rnacentral:rRNA from 1 species
GACGAACGCUGGCGGCGUGCCUAAUACAUGCAAGUGGGACGCAAGGAAACACACUGUGCUUGCACACCGUGUUUUCUUGAGUCGCGAACGGGUGAGUAACGCGUAGGUAACCUGCCUAUUAGCGGGGGAUAACUAUUGGAAACGAUAGCUAAUACCGCAUAAUAUUAAUUAUUGCAUGAUAAUUGAUUGAAAGAUGCAAGCGCAUCACUAGUAGAUGGACCUGCGUUGUAUUAGCUAGUUGGUAAGGUAAGAGCUUACCAAGGCGACGAUACAUAGCCGACCUGAGAGGGUGAUCGGCCACACUGGGACUGAGACACGGCCCAGACUCCUACGGGAGGCAGCAGUAGGGAAUCUUCGGCAAUGGACGAAAGUCUGACCGAGCAACGCCGCGUGAGUGAAGAAGGUUGUCGGAUCGUAAAGCUCGGUUGUAAGUCAAGAACGUGUGUGAGAGUGGAAAGUUCACACAGUGACGGUAGCUUACCAGAAAGGGACGGCUAACUACGUG